GAGAGUAUAGUUCAGUGGUAGAGUACAUGUGUAGCACACGUGAGGUCCUGGGUUCAGUUGCCAGUACCUUCA
rnacentral:tRNA from 1 species